GAUGGAGAACGGAGAUUUCGGUUGAAGUUUUCUAUUGACUGAGUGGCGGACGGGUGAGUAACGCGUGGGUAACCUGCCCUAUACAGGGGGAUAACAGUUAGAAAUGACUGCUAAUACCGCAUAAGCGCACAGCUUCGCAUGAAGCGGUGUGAAAAACUGAGGUGGUAUAGGAUGGACCCGCGUUGGAUUAGCUAGUUGGUGAGGUAACGGCCCACCAAGGCGACGAUCCGUAGCCGGCCUGAGAGGGUGAACGGCCACAUUGGGACUGAGACACGGCCCAAACUCCUACGGGAGGCAGCAGUGGGGAAUAUUGCACAAUGGGGGAAACCCUGAUGCAGCGACGCCGCGUGAAGGAAGAAGUAUCUCGGUAUGUAAACUUCUAUCAGCAGGGAAGAAAGUGACGGUACCUGACUAAGAAGCCCCGGCUAAUUACGUGCCAGCAGCCGCGGUAAUACGUAAGGGGCAAGCGUUAUCCGGAUUUACUGGGUGUAAAGGGAGCGUAGACGGUUUGGCAAGUCUGAUGUGAAAGGCAUGGGCUCAACCUGUGGACUGCAUUGGAAACUGUCAGACUUGAGUGCCGGAGAGGCAAGCGGAAUUCCUAGUGUAGCGGUGAA
rnacentral:rRNA from 1 species